rnacentral:rRNA from 1 species
GUCCACGCCCUAAACGAUGAUGACUAGUUGUUGGGGGAGUUAAAUCCCUUAGUAACGCAGCUAACGCGUGAAGUCAUCCGCCUGGGGAGUACGGUCGCAAGAUUAAAACUCAAAGGAAUUGACGGGGGCCCGCACAAGCGGUGGAUGAUGUGGUUUAAUUCGAUGCAACGCGAAAACCUUACCUACCCUUGACAUGCCAGGAACGCUGCAGAAAUGCAGUGGUGCCCGAAAGGGAACCUGGACACAGGUGCUGCAUGGCUGUCGU